AAGUCGAACGGGAUCCAUCAGGCUUUGCUUGGUGGUGAGAGUGGCGAACGGGUGAGUAAUGCGUGACCGACCUGCCCCAUACACCGGAAUAGCUCCUGGAAACGGGUGGUAAUGCCGGAUGCUCCGACUCCUCGCAUGGGGUGUCGGGAAAGAUUUCAUCGGUAUGGGAUGGGGUCGCGUCCUAUCAGGUAGUCGGCGGGGUAACGGCCCACCGAGCCUACGACGGGUAGCCGGCCUGAGAGGGCGACCGGCCACAUUGGGACUGAGAUACGGCCCAGACUCCUACGGGAGGCAGCAGUGGGGAAUAUUGCACAAUGGGCGCAAGCCUGAUGCAGCGACGCCGCGUGCGGGAUGACGGCCUUCGGGUUGUAAACCGCUUUUGAUCGGGAGCAAGCCUUCGGGUGAGUGUACCUUUCGAAUAAGCACCGGCUAACUACGUGCCAGCAGCCGCGGUAAUACGUAGGGUGCAAGCGUUAUCCGGAAUUAUUGGGCGUAAAGGGCUCGUAGGCGGUUCGUCGCGUCCGGUGUGAAAGUCCAUCGCUUAACGGUGGAUCUGCGCCGGGUACGGGCGGGCUGGAGUGCGGUAGGGGAGACUGGAAUUCCCGGUGUAACGGUGGAAUGUGUAGAUAUCGGGAAGAACACCAAUGGCGAAGGCAGGUCUCUGGGCCGUUACUGACGCUGAGGAGCGAAAGCGUGGGGAGCGAACAGGAUUAGAUACCCUGGUAGUCCACGCCGUAAACGGUGGAUGCUGGAUGUGGGGCCCGUUCCACGGGUUCCGUGUCGGAGCUAACGCGUUAAGCAUCCCGCCUGGGGAGUACGGCCGCAAGGCUAAAACUCAAAGAAAUUGACGGGGGCCCGCACAAGCGGCGGAGCAUGCGGAUUAAUUCGAUGCAACGCGAAGAACCUUACCUGGGCUUGACAUGUUCCCGACCGCUCCAGAGAUGGGGCUUCCCUUCGGGGCGGGUUCACAGGUGGUGCAUGGUCGUCGUCAGCUCGUGUCGUGAGAUGUUGGGUUAAGUCCCGCAACGAGCGCAACCCUCGCCCUGUGUUGCCAGCACGUCAUGGUGGGAACUCACGGGGGACCGCCGGGGUCAACUCGGAGGAAGGUGGGGAUGACGUCAGAUCAUCAUGCCCCUUACGUCCAGGGCUUCACGCAUGCUACAAUGGCCGGUACAACGGGAUGCGACACGGCGACGUGGAGCGGAUCCCUGAAAACCGGUCUCAGUUCGGAUUGGAGUCUGCAACCCGACUCCAUGAAGGCGGAGUCGCUAGUAAUCGCGGAUCAGCAACGCCGCGGUGAAUGCGUUCCCGGGCCUUGUACACACCGCCCGUCAAGUCAUGAAAGUGGGUAGCACCCGAAGCCGGUGGCCUAACCCUUUGUGGAUGGAGCCGUCUAAGGUGAGACUCGUGAUUGGGNCUAAGUC
rnacentral:rRNA from 1 species